CUCGAAAACAAUCAAAAUCAAGUAACAAAAUAUUCAAAGACAGAAACGCAAUCCUAUAGAUGAUUCGAGAAGCAGAGAAAUUGCGGAAUAGAAAAGAGAUAGAAAUAACCUGAGGAGGAGCGAGAAGGCCAGGGUGGUAGAGAGACUGUUGUUGAAGAAGAGCUUGUUGCAUCAGAGCUUGUUGCUGCUGUUUAAGCCUCUGGUGCUGCAUUUUUUUGUGUUGUAGACUGGGAAAUCUGUGUUUGUUUCCCGAGAAAAGUUGGUGCUUUCCUUUCUCUGUUCUUUUAUUUUUUAGGGUUCGAAGUAAAUGGGGCCCCAAAGGGAGAAAAAAGCGAAAAUGAAAGAACGAGACGGGGAGAGACGCCCCUUUGAAGGAGUGAGAGAGAGGGAGAGAGCGA
rnacentral:misc_RNA from 1 species